CUUCUGCUAGUUAAGGUUUUUUCCACUCAAAUGAUGCUUUGCAUAGACAGCUCAUGCUUCAGUGCUCUGAAAGUGUUUAUAGACCUGUGAACAGUUUUAACACAACACCUGCUCACUAAAACAACCUGAAGCAAAUAUGAUUCUCUUCAUAUGGGCACUUUGCUUCAUCCAAGGUGUUUUGGGACAGGUUGUUGUGAAUCAGCCUGAAGUUAAAUCUGCUCAGCUUGGUCAGAGCGUCUCUAUUGACUGUAAGGUCAACACUGUAGUUUAUAGGAAGCCAGAUGGCAAAGUCUCUAAAGGAGAUUACUACAUCUCCUGGUAUCUUCAGAGAGCAGAGGGUCCCCCUAAACUCCUGAUAUAUUUCACAACAAUGAAGCCCUCAGAUACUCCAUCCAGAAUGAGUGGUGGAGGCAGUUUUCACUCUGGAGGAAACGGUCUUGAUUUCACUCUCACCAUUGAUAAUGUCCAGCUUGAAGAUGCAGGAGUUUAUUACUGUUUAAGUUACCAUGAGAUCAAUAACAAAGCUGUGUUCACACAGUGAAAAAGUGUAAUACAACAACCUCCCUUGUACAGAUUACUGAGAAUCUGAUGAACCGAGAGACCAGGUGCUGGAAGCAGAACAAAAAUAGAGUGAACACAAGUGUGUAUGAGAUAUACAAACAUAAAACACUUAA